rnacentral:rRNA from 1 species
AUUGAACGCUGGCGGCAGGCCUAACACAUGCAAGUCGAACGGUAACAGGAAACAGCUUGCUGUUUCGCUGACGAGUGGCGGACGGGUGAGUAAUGUCUGGGAAACUGCCUGAUGGAGGGGGAUAACUACUGGAAACGGUAGCUAAUACCGCAUAACGUCGCAAGACCAAAGAGGGGGACCCUCGGGCCUCUUGCCAUCUGAUGUGCCCAGAUUGGAUUAGCUUGUUGGUGGGGUAACGGCUCACCAAGGCGACGAUCCCUAGCUGGUCUGAGAGGAUGACCAGCCACACUGGAACUGAGACACGGUCCAGACUCCUACGGGAGGCAGCAGUGGGGAAUAUUGCACAAUGGGCGCAAGCCUGAUGCAGCCAUGCCGCGUGUAUGAAGAAGGCCUUCGGGUUGUAAAGUACUUUCAGCGGGGAGGAAGGGAGUAAAGUUAAUACCUUUGCUCAUUGACGUUACCCGCAGAAGAAGCACCGGCUAACUCCGUG